GAUGAACGCUGGCGGCGUGCCUAAUACAUGCGAGUCGAGCGAACAGACGAGGAGCUUGCUCCUCUGACGUUAUCGGCGGACGGGUGAGUAACACGUGGAUAACCUACCUAUAAGACUGGGAUAACUUCGGGAAACCGGAGCUAAUACCGGAUAAUAUAUUGAACCGCAUGGUUCAAUAGUGAAAGACGGUUUUGCUGUCACUUAUAGAUGGAUCCGCGCCGCAUUAGCUAGUUGGUAAGGUAACGGCUUACCAAGGCGACGAUGCGUAGCCGACCUGAGAGGGUGAUCGGCCACACUGGAACUGAGACACGGUCCAGACUCCUACGGGAGGCAGCAGUAGGGAAUCUUCCGCAAUGGGCGAAAGCCUGACGGAGCAACGCCGCGUGAGUGAUGAAGGUCUUCGGAUCGUAAAACUCUGUUAUUAGGGAAGAACAAAUGUGUAAGUAACUAUGCACGUCUUGACGGUACCUAAUCAGAAAGCCACGGCUAACUACGUG
rnacentral:rRNA from 1 species